rnacentral:rRNA from 1 species
UACGGGGGGGGCAAGCGUUGUUCGGAAUUACUGGGCGUAAAGAGCUCGUAGGCGGUGUGUCGCGUCGGCCGUGAAAACCUGCAGCUUAACUGUGGGCUUGCGGUCGAUACGGGCAUCACUGGAGUUCGGCAGGGGAGACUGGAAUUCCUGGUGUAGCGGUGAAAUGCGCAGAUAUCAGGAGGAACACCGAUGGCGAAGGCAGGUCUCUGGGCCACUACUGACGCUGAGAAGCGAAAGCAUGGGGAGCGAACAGG